GGCGCCACAAGUGGCAACCGUAAUUAUUGGGCCUAAAGCGUUCGUAGCCGGUUUGGCAAAUUUUCUGUGAAAUCGUCUGGCUUAACCAGACGACGUGCAGGAAACACUACCAGACUAGAGACCGGGAGGAGCUUGGGGUAUUCUUGGGGGAGCGGUAAAAUGUUGUGAUCCCUUGAAGACCACCUGUGGCGAAGGCGCCAAGCUAGAACGGAUCUGACGGUGAGGGACGAAAGCUAGGGGAGCGAUCC
rnacentral:rRNA from 1 species